rnacentral:rRNA from 1 species
AGCGAUGAAGAUUGGUGCUUGCACCAAUUUGAAGAGCAGCGAACGGGUGAGUAACGCGUGGGGAAUCUGCCUUUGAGCGGGGGACAACAUUUGGAAACGAAUGCUAAUACCGCAUAACAACUUUAAACAUAAGUUUUAAGUUUGAAAGAUGCAAUUGCAUCACUCAAAGAUGAUCCCGCGUUGUAUUAGCUAGUUGGUGAGGUAAAGGCUCACCAAGGCGAUGAUACAUAGCCGACCUGAGAGGGUGAUCGGCCACAUUGGGACUGAGACACGGCCCAAACUCCUACGGGAGGCAGCAGUAGGGAAUCUUCGGCAAUGGACGAAAGUCUGACCGAGCAACGCCGCGUGAGUGAAGAAGGUUUUCGGAUCGUAAAACUCUGUUGGUAGAGAAGAACGUUGGUGAGAGUGGAAAGCUCAUCAAGUGACGGUAACUACCCAGAAAGGGACGGCUAACUACGUGCCAGCAGCCGCGGUAAUACGUAGGUCCCGAGCGUUGUCCGGAUUUAUUGGGCGUAAAGCGAGCGCAGGUGGUUUAUUAAGUCUGGUGUAAAAGGCAGUGGCUCAACCAUUGUAUGCAUUGGAAACUGGUAGACUUGAGUGCAGGAGAGGAGAGUGGAAUUCCAUGUGUAGCGGUGAAAUGCGUAGAUAUAUGGAGGAACACCGGUGGCGAAAGCGGCUCUCUGGCCUGUAACUGACACUGAGGCUCGAAAGCGUGGGGAGCAAACAGGAUUAGAUACCCUGGUAGUCCACGCCGUAAACGAUGAGUGCUAGAUGUAGGGAGCUAUAAGUUCUCUGUAUCGCAGCUAACGCAAUAAGCACUCCGCCUGGGGGAGUACGACCGCAAGGGUUGAAACUCAAAGGAAUUGACGGGGGGCCCGCACAAGCGGGUGGAGCAUGUG